rnacentral:rRNA from 1 species
CAGACCUCUAAUCGGAAAAGACUACCCGCUGAGUUUMA